GCCCCCAAAUUUUGGGGAUUUUGGAGUUUCCUCCAACUUUGGGGUGAUCUUGGGAUCCUGGGAGGACGUUUUAGGACCCAGGGGCUGGUUUUGGGGUCUCGGUGGGAUUUUGGGGUUGUGUUGUCGGGUCAGAUUUGGGGUUCACCCCUUUUUCCUCCUCUCCAGGUGUGGAGAAACGUUUGGGGUACCUGAAGGAGAAGCUGCAGGUGGGGGGGCUGGUGCUGGGCCCCGUGUACCCCCAAAAAUCCCCCGAGGCCAAAAUCCCCCCCCUGAAGGAGCUGGACUCCACCCUGGGCACCAUGCAGGACUUCAGCGCCCUGGUGCAUGCAGCCAAGGACAAAGGGGUGAAGGUGAUCCUGGACCUGACCCCAAACCCCGCCGGGAAUCCGGUGUGGGGGGACGCAGCCCAAGACUCUGAGGUGCACCAGCAGGUCCAGGCCGCCCUGAGCCAUUGGCUGAAGGAGGACAUUGCUGGGAUCUUCCUGGAUGGCAUCGAGGAGCUCCCG